rnacentral:rRNA from 1 species
GGUUAAGCGACUAAGCGUACACGGUGGAUGCCCCGGCAGUCAGAGGCGAUGAAGGACGUGCUAAUCUGCGAUAAGCGUCGGUAAGGUGAUAUGAACCGUUAUAACCGGCGAUUUCCGAAUGGGGAAACCCAGUGUGAUUCGUCACACUAUCAUUAACUGAAUCCAUAGGUUAAUGAGGCGAACCGGGGGAACUGAAACAUCUAAGUACCCCGAGGAAAAGAAAUCAACCGAGAUUCCCCCAGUAGCGGCGAGCGAACGGGGAGCAGCCCAGAGCCUGAAUCAGUGUGUGUGUUAGUGGAAGCGUCUGGAAAGGCGCGCGAUACAGGGUGACAGCCCCGUACACAAAAAUGCACAUACUGUGAGCUCGAUGAGUAGGGCGGGACACGUGGUAUCCUGUCUGAAUAUGGGGGGACCAUCCUCCAAGGCUAAAUACUCCUGACUGACCGAUAGUGAACCAGUACCGUGAGGGAAAGGCGAAAAGAACCCCGGCGAGGGGGAGUGAAAAAGAACCUGAAACCGUGUACGUACAAGCAGUGGGAGCCUCUUUUAUGGGGUGACUGCGUACCUUUUGUAUAAUGGGUCAGCGACUUAUAUUCUGUAGCAAGGUUAACCGAAUAGGGGAGCCGAAGGGGAAACCGAGUCUUAACCGGGCGUUAAGUUGCAGGGUAUAGACCCGAAACCCGGUGAUCUAGCCAUGGGCAGGUUGAAGGUUGGGUAACACUAACUGGAGGACCGAACCGACUAAUGUUGAAAAAUUAGCGGAUGACUUGUGGCUGGGGGUGAAAGGCCAAUCAAACCGGGAGAUAGCUGGUUCUCCCCGAAAGCUAUUUAGGUAGCGCCUCGUGAAUUCAUCUCCGGGGGUAGAGCACUGUUUCGGCAAGGGGGUCAUCCCGACUUACCAACCCGAUGCAAACUGCGAAUACCGGAGAAUGUUAUCACGGGAGACACACGGCGGGUGCUAACGUCCGUCGUGAAGAGGGAAACAACCCAGACCGCCAGCUAAGGUCCCAAAGUCAUGGUUAAGUGGGAAACGAUGUGGGAAGGCCCAGACAGCCAGGAUGUUGGCUUAGAAGCAGCCAUCAUUUAAAGAAAGCGUAAUAGCUCACUGGUCGAGUCGGCCUGCGCGGAAGAUGUAACGGGGCUAAACCAUGCACCGAAGCUGCGGCAGCGACACUGUGUGUUGUUGGGUAGGGGAGCGUUCUGUAAGCCUGUGAAGGUGUACUGUGAGGUAUGCUGGAGGUAUCAGAAGUGCGAAUGCUGACAUAAGUAACGAUAAAGCGGGUGAAAAGCCCGCUCGCCGGAAGACCAAGGGUUCCUGUCCAACGUUAAUCGGGGCAGGGUGAGUCGACCCUAAGGCGAGGCCGAAAGGCGUAGUCGAUGGGAAACAGGUUAAUAUUCCUGUACUUGGUGUUACUGCGAAGGGGGGACGGAGAAGGCUAUGUUGGCCGGGCGACGGUUGUCCCGGUUUAAGCGUGUAGGCUGGUUUUCCAGGCAAAUCCGGAAAAUCAAGGCUGAGGCGUGAUGACGAGGCACUACGGUGCUGAAGCAACAAAUGCCCUGCUUCCAGGAAAAGCCUCUAAGCAUCAGGUAACAUCAAAUCGUACCCCAAACCGACACAGGUGGUCAGGUAGAGAAUACCAAGGCGCUUGAGAGAACUCGGGUGAAGGAACUAGGCAAAAUGGUGCCGUAACUUCGGGAGAAGGCACGCUGAUAUGUAGGUGAAGUCCCUCGCGGAUGGAGCUGAAAUCAGUCGAAGAUACCAGCUGGCUGCAACUGUUUAUUAAAAACACAGCACUGUGCAAACACGAAAGUGGACGUAUACGGUGUGACGCCUGCCCGGUGCCGGAAGGUUAAUUGAUGGGGUCAGCGCAAGCGAAGCUCUUGAUCGAAGCCCCGGUAAACGGCGGCCGUAACUAUAACGGUCCUAAGGUAGCGAAAUUCCUUGUCGGGUAAGUUCCGACCUGCACGAAUGGCGUAAUGAUGGCCAGGCUGUCUCCACCCGAGACUCAGUGAAAUUGAACUCGCUGUGAAGAUGCAGUGUACCCGCGGCAAGACGGAAAGACCCCGUGAACCUUUACUAUAGCUUGACACUGAACAUUGAGCCUUGAUGUGUAGGGAUAGGUGGGAGGCUUUGAAGUGUGGACGCCAGUCUGCAUGGAGCCGACCUUGAAAUACCACCCUUUAAUGUUUGAUGUUCUAACGUGGACCCGUGAUCCGGGUUGCGGACAGUGUCUGGUGGGUAGUUUGACUGGGGCGGUCUCCUCCUAAAGAGUAACGGAGGAGCACGAAGGUUGGCUAAUCCCCGGUCGGACAUCAGGAGGUUAGUGCAAUGGCAUAAGCCAGCUUGACUGCGAGCGUGACGGCGCGAGCAGGUGCGAAAAGCAGGUCAUAGUGAUCCGGUGGUUCUGAAUGGAAGGGCCAUCGCUCAACGGAUAAAAGGUACUCCGGGGAUAACAGGCUGAUACCGCCCAAGAGUUCAUAUCGACGGCGGUGUUUGGCACCUCGAUGUCGGCUCAUCACAUCCUGGGGCUGAAGUAGGUCCCAAGGGUAUGGCUGUUCGCCAUUUAAAGUGGUACGCGAGCUGGGUUUAGAACGUCGUGAGACAGUUCGGUCCCUAUCUGCCGUGGGCGCUGGAGAACUGAGGGGGCUGCUCCUAGUACGAGAGGACCGGAGUGGACGCAUCACUGGUGUUCGGGUUGUCAUGCCAAUGGCACUGCCCGGUAGCUAAAUGCGGAAGAGAUAAGUGCUGAAAGCAUCUAAGCACGAAACUUGCCCCGAGAUGAGUUCUCCCUGACCCUUUAAGGGUCCUGAAGGAACGUUGAAGACGACGACGUUGAUAGGCCGGGUGUGUAAGCGCAGCGAUGCGUUGAGCUAACCGGUACUAAUGAACCGUGAGGCUUAACCUU